AUUAUUUUCAUACAAUCGGCUCCCCCUCUUUCUCAACCUUUUCCCCCUCCCCUCUUGGAACAACAUAAAAAUUCAGACUUUUCUUAACUUCAGACUUAGUCAGUAUGUCAGAGUAGAGGGUUUUUAGGUACCUAACUUCAGCGAGUUAACAUCUGUUGUGGUGGACCCUUGGGGGUUGAUAUCUGCUGUUGCCAUCUGAGGAGUCUGAGCCUUGCACCUGGGCUUGGUGUUGGGUACAGGGAGCUCCAACAGAAGGGCCUCCAGUAUGCCAACAGAAAGCAGGCGAGAAUUUUUAUUUGUUAUAUUGGAGGGUCAGAGGGAGGAGUUGAAGGCCAAAUUUAGUGCUACAAAGUUCUUCAGCCUCUUGUCAUAUGACUCUACAGACAGUGAAGUCACUGAAGAGGAGAUCCUUUACACCCACUAGACCAUCAAAGGGGAGGCAACCAUUCACUUUUCAGCUUGGAGGCAGCGGCAUAUAUAUUGGCUGCCGUUGAGGUUGGGGCCUUAAGGGUGUUACCUGGCUGACGUGAGAAAUUCGAUAGCGAUGGGACAGACGUAAUGACAGGUCAUGUGGAGGGAGUU